GUCUCCGUAGGUGACCUGCGGAGGGAUCAUUACAAGAACGCCCGGGCUUCGGCCUGGUUAUUCAUAACCCUUUGUUGUCCGACUCUGUUGCCUCCGGGGCGACCCUGCCUUCGGGCGGGGGCUCCGGGUGGACACUUCAAACUCUUGCGUAACUUUGCAGUCUGAGUAAACUUAAUUAAUAAAUUAAAACUUUUAACAACGGAUCUCUUGGUUCUGGCAUCGAUGAAGAACGCAGCGAAAUGCGAUAAGUAAUGUGAAUUGCAGAAUUCAGUGAAUCAUCGAAUCUUUGAACGCACAUUGCGCCCCCUGGUAUUCCGGGGGGCAUGCCUGUUCGAGCGUCAUUUCACCACUCAAGCCUCGCUUGGUAUUGGGCAACGCGGUCCGCCGCGUGCCUCAAAUCGUCCGGCUGGGUCUUCUGUCCCCUAAGCGUUGUGGAAACUAUUCGCUAAAGGGUGUUCGGGAGGCUACGCCGUAAAACAACCCCAUUUCUAAGGUUGACCUCGGAUCAGGUAGGGAUACCCGCUGAACUUAAGCAUAUCA
rnacentral:misc_RNA from 1 species